rnacentral:lncRNA from 1 species
UCCUUCUCUCUCUUCCGUGCCCACUCUUCUCUUCAACAGUCUUCCUCUUUCAUGAGCGUAGUGGUUUCUCUUUAAUAAAUUCUCUCUCCCUCUAGGCCGACACCUGAUCCUGGAGUUUAGAGUUACGACAAAACAGAAAGACAUGCAAGAGGAAGAGAGGGAGAGUGUGUGAGAGAGAUGCAUUGUUGACUUUACAUAAAACAAACAGGUGUGAAUUGAGAAGUAUUUGUUCAGUGUCUUGUGUUAUUUGUGCGCCACAUGAGAAGAAAUACAGAGCGAGUGUGGGAAGCAGAGUCAUACGAGGAAAUGCUCGAUCCAGUCAAGCGGCUUCUUCCAUCUUAUAAAUUGGUUGGCAGAGAUCUGGAACAAGCGUAACAUAAAAAAAGAGGGCAAGAUGACCAAGAGAAGCACCAUGAGGCUUUGGUGAUGAUGCACACUCUGACUCGUAGAUGACGUCAGUGCAUGCACAGAAGCGGGCACUGAGACAGAGGUGAAGGAGAAAGCCGAGGAGUCGGUCGCUAAGCCCGACCAAUCGGAGAAGGCCACGGAAGAGAACCAGGAAGUAGCCAACGCCGAGGGAGAGGAGAAGGAGAAAGAGAAGGAGAAGGAGGGAAAGGGAAUAGGUCGAUACCUGCCAACGUGGCUUAAGAAGCAGAAGUCUCAGAGCCAGACGUCCCCGACCAAGGAGGUGCCACCCACAGAGGAAGCCGAUAGCAAGGUGCCACAGGAAGAGGACGAGCCCGCCCCAGAAGUGAACGGUCACGCAGAGGAAGUGGAAGAGAAGGAGGAAGUGAAGGAAAAAGAAGCAGAAUCUCAUUCCACCGCCAGCGCAGACACUGAGCCUGCCAAGGAGGAGAAGGUGGAAGAGAGUGCUGAGAAAAGACCAGAGGAGACCCGCGUGACCGCAGAGGAAGACGGAGCAGAGGAGCAGAAGAAGGAGCAGCAGCAGCAGCAAGAGGAGGUGGGAGGUGAAGAGGAGGGAGGAGGAGGAGGAGGAAAAGAAGGCGAAAGCGAAAGCAAGACCUCUAUUUUCCAGUCUCCUCUUC